AAUAUGAUAUUCAAGAUUUCUGUUUUUCAUUCUUCACUUGGACCUUUGUGCCUUUAUUGUAAGAAGUUUAUUGUUGAUUGAAUCGAAAUCAAGGUUAAUUUUUUAGAAAAGUGUUGCUUGGACAGGUGCAGGGGAAAAGGAGUAAAUGCUUUAUAGCUUCUUGUAGUAAUACCUUGUGUGAUCCAUGAGGUUUGUCAAAUAAUCCAUAAAAUUUAUAUCUCUCUAUUGUAAUAUCUAAAUAAUGCAUAUAACUCUUUAAACUACUUUGCUUUGUAGAUUGACAAGUGAAAGGACAAUAUUGGUUAUGAAGACCUUUGUUACUUUUGGAUAUGAUGUUCCAACGGCUACUAUUUUGAACUUUUUUUGUUUGUAUUAGUUUAGGGUGGAUUUAAACAUUAAUCCAAACUUGUAGGAUAUUGUAUUAUAUAAUAUGGAUGUAAGAUUGUUAAUGUUGGAUAAUUAAUUAUGGAUAUGUUAUU
rnacentral:lncRNA from 1 species